rnacentral:rRNA from 1 species
GACGAACGCUGGCGGCGUGCUUAACACAUGCAAGUCGAACGGAAAGGCCCUGCUUUUGUGGGGUGCUCGAGUGGCGAACGGGGGAGUAACACGUGAGUAACCUGCCCUUGACUUUGGGAUAACUUCAGGAAACUGGGGCUAAUACCGGAUAGGAGCUCCUGCUGCAGGGUGGGGGUUGGAAAGUUUCGGCGGUUGGGGAUGGACUCGCGGCUUAUCAGCUUGUUGGUGGGGUAGUGGCUGACCAAGGCUUUGACGGGUAGCCCGCCGGAGAGGGUGACCGGCCACAUUGGGCCUGAGAGACGGCCCAGUCUCCUACGUGAGGCAGCAGUGGGGAAUAUUGCACAAUGGGCGGAAGCCUGAUGCAGCAACGCCGCGUGCGGGAUGACGGCCUUCGGGUUGUAAACCGCUUUCGCCUGUGACGAAGCGUGAGUGACGGUAAUGGGUAAAGAAGCACCGGCUAACUACGUG